AUUAAGGAUACAAUAGCAGCGGGUGACAGUUUUAUCGCUGGAUUUAUAUAUACUCUAAUACAUCGGGGCACCCUGGACCACUGUGUAAAAAAUGCGAUUUGGACUGCUCAAAAAAUGAUCCGACAAUCGGGUUCAUCUCUUCCCUCCACCCUUCCAGAUCUUCCAGAAGCUCAAUGUCGUCUUCCAAAAAAUCCGUCAAAUCUCUUAUCACCAAAGAAGAAAGGCGUGCCAAUGGAGAAAGCAAAAAAAUCGCUAAAAAUUAAAUCGUAAAAGCAUUUUUACAACGUAUGCACUUAAACACAAAUAUUAUAGAUAUAGCAUUAAUAAAGAUUAUUUAGACUAGAA